UACGAAGGGAGCUAGCGUUGUUCGGAAUCACUGGGCGUAAAGCGCACGUAGGCGGAUGUGUCAGUCAGGGGUGAAAUCCCGGAGCUCAACUUCGGAACUGCCUUUGAUACAGCACGUCUUGAGUCCGGAAGAGGUGGGUGGAAUUCCUAGUGUAGGAGGUGAAAUUCGUAGAUAUUAGGAAGAACACGGUGGCGAAGGCGGCCCACUGGUCCGGUACUGACGCUGAGGUGCGAAGCGUGGGGAGCAACAGG
rnacentral:rRNA from 1 species